GUUUUAAUAGUUUAAUAAAAAUUUUGAUUUUGUAAUUCAAAGAUAAGAAUACUCUUUUAAAACA
rnacentral:tRNA from 1 species